UAGGACCGUUCUAUUAGGAGGUAGGACUGUUCCGUUAGGAGGUAGGACACUUCCGUUAGAAGGUAGGACUGUUCCGUUAGGAGGUAGGACCGUUCCGUUAGGAGGUAGGACACUUCCGUUAGGAGGUAGGACACUUCCGUUAGGAGGGAGGACACUUCCGUUAGGAGGUAGGACCGUUCUGUUAGGAGGUAGGACACUUCCGUUAGGAGGUAGGAUACAUCCGUUAGGAGGUAGGACCGUUCCGUUAGGAGGUAGGACACUUCCGUUAGGAGGUAGGACACUUCCGUUAGGAGGUAGGACCGUUCCGUUAGGAGGGAGGACCGUUCCGUUAGGAGGGAGGACACUUCCGUUAGGAGGUAGGACCGUUCUGUUAGGAGGUAGGACACUUCCGUUAGGAGGUAGGAUACAUCCGUUAGGAGGUAGGACUGUUCCGUUAGGAGGUAGGACACUUCGGUUAGGAGGUAGGACUGUUCCGUUAGGGGGUAGGACACUUCGGUUAGAAGGUAGGACCGGUCCGUUAGGAGGUAGGACUGUUCCGUUAGGAGGUAGGACCGUUCCGUUAGGAGGUAGGACUGUUCCGUUAGGAGGCAGGACCGUUCCGUUAGGAGGUAGGACUGUUCCGUUAGGAGGUAGGACUGUUCCAUUAGGAGGUAGGACCGUUCCGUUAGGAGGUAGGACACUUCCGUUAGGAUGUAGGACUGUUCGGUUAGGAGGUAGGACCGUUCCGUUAGGAGGGAGGACCGUUCCGUUAGGAGGUAGGACACUUCCGUUAGGAGGUAGGAUACAUCCGUUAGGAGGUAGGACUGUUACGUUAGGAGGUAGGACCGUUCUAUUAGGAGGUAGGACUGUUCCGUUAGGAGGUAGGACACUUCCGUUAGAAGGUAGGACUCUUCCGUUAGGAGGUAGGACCGUUCCGUAGGAGGUAGGACACUUCCGUUAGAAGGUAGGACCGUUCUGUUAGGAGGUAGGACUGUUCCGUUAGAAGGUAGGACACUUCGGUUUUAGGAGGUAGGACUGUUCCAUUAGGAGGUAAGACUGUUCCGUUAGGAGGUAGGACUGUUCCGUUAGGAGGUAGGACACUUCGGUUAGGAGGUAGAACUGUUCCGUUAGGAGGUAGGACACUUCGGUUAGGAGGUAGGACUGUUCCGUUAGGAGGUGGGACUGUUCCGUUAGGAGGUAGGACACAUCCGUUAGGAGGUAGGACCGUUCCGUUAGGAGGUAGGACCGUUCCGUUAGGAGGUAGGACACUUCGGUUAGGAGGUAGGACUGUUCCGUUAGGAGGUGGGACUGUUCCGUUAGGAGGUAGGACACAUCCGUUAGGAGGUGGGACUGUUCCGUUAGGAGGUAGGACACAUCCGUUAGGAGGUAGGACCGUUCCGUUAGGAGGUAGGACCGUUCCGUUAGGAGGUAGGACCGUUCCGUUAGGAGGUAGGACCGUUCCGUUAGGAGGUAGGACCGUUCCGUUAGGAGGUAGGACCGUUCCGUUAGGAGGUAGGACCGUUCCGUUAGGAGGUAGGACCGUUCCUUUAGGACGUAGGACCAUUCUGUUUAAAAUGUCAGCAGCGUCAGAGUUGCCCUGAAAACACCCACAGAUUCCCUGUCCAUCUGUC
ensembl:lncRNA